rnacentral:lncRNA from 1 species
AGUACGAGAUAUUGCUGUUGAAAAAGAACGCUUUACUAAGUGCCGAAGUCAAAUUAGCUGCAGGAUCGAGGGAUUUACAAUCAGUAUGAUCAGGUGCUCAUCGCUGGCGGCUUAUUUGCAUGUGGGGCAAUGAUCGCACCAGCGUUCGGCGAGGAUGGCUGGAAUCGCGGAAAACUCAUCCCAUCGGCGACUUACACAAUCGGAAACCACAUCAAAAUUUCUCAUAACGGACUGACGAUUGGGCUGCCUAGAUUCGGCCUGUUUAAUCGUCACGGCCAUAAACAUGAAAAGGUCAUCGUAAACAACCACCAUCACUAUGUCGUCCCAUGGCCAGUCCAUGACCCUUGGUGGUGAAGGGCAACCACCUACUGAGACAGCCUUUGUCACGUUACAAGGGUGCUCCUAAAGCUGCCGCUAAACGAUACGUCUGCUUGUCCCAUGGCUGAAUGCGAGGGUCGAUCAUAGACAAGAUAAGGUGUUGUGUUUAAAACACAUAUACGAAAAAAAAGCGACGAAAAACGUAAGCGAGAGGGAAACUACGAUAACGCACUAUGGACAUUGUAAUUAAGUUAUCUACUUAUCUAGGUUCAAUCAUUUGUACACAUGAAACGGAGCUUUGCCUCCUCGCCUCCUGUAGCAGCGCAAUAAGCUCUCUGCUCAGUUCUGUAUAUUUAUUGUAGGUGUUUCGGUUUCUAAGAUGAAUUUAUCUCUCAUCUAUUGUAAUAAACGGUAUUUUACUGUUUGUACAUCUGUGCAUUUUCUCUAAAUUAUAUCUUAUACACGAUCAGCAAGUUUAGAUUGACAUUAUUAGCCGUUAACGACUACGUUCAAAAGUUUUAGCUGUUUCGAAGGAAAAGAAGUAAGGAUUUUUACCUCCAGAUGCUUGAAAGUUGAACUUAUA